rnacentral:RNase_P_RNA from 1 species
CCCGGUCCGCUGGUAACAGUCGGUCGCAUGGCAAGCCUCAUCGGGAGCAAGGCCAAGCAGAAGACGGCAAGGGCUGCUCGCCCGUGUCUUCGGGUAGGCCGCUAGAGCCUGGCGGCAACGUCAGGUCGAGAUGGAUGGCCAUCCGCGUGGCGACACGCGACAGAACCCGGGGUAUCGGGGGUCUCGCUUU